ACAUGGAUUGCUUGCAAUCUGAUGACGAGUGGCGCACGGGUGCGUAACGCGUAUAGAACCUACCCUUUACAGGGGGAUAGCCCGGAGAAAUUCGGAUUAAUACCCCAUAGUAAUAUUUUGUGGCAUCACAGAGUAUUUAAAGUUUCGGCGGUAGAGGAUGGCUAUGCGUCUUAUUAGUUAGUAGGUGAGGUAACGGCUCACCUAGACAGCGAUAAGUAGGGGCCCUGAGAGGGGGAUCCCCCACACUGGUACUGAGACACGGACCAGACUCCUACGGGAGGCAGCAGUGAGGAAUAUUGGACAAUGGUCGAGAGACUGAUCCAGCCACGCCGCGUGCAGGAAGACGGCCUUACGGGUUGUAAACUGCUUUUAUACGGGAAGAAUAAUACCCACGUGUGGGUAGAUGACGGUACCGUAAGAAUAAGGACCGGCUAACUCCGUGCCAGCAGCCGCGGUAAUACGGAGGGUCCGAGCGUUAUCCGGAAUUAUUGGGUUUAAAGGGUCCGCAGGCGGGUCAGUAAGUCAGGGGUGAAAGUUUGCGGCUUAACCGUAAAAUUGCCUUUGAUACUGCUGGUCUUGAGUUGCGGUGAAGUGGCUGGAAUAUGUGGUGUAGCGGUGAAAUGCAUAGAUAUCACAUAGAACACCGAUUGCGAAGGCAGGUCACUAACCGCCGACUGACGCUGAUGGACGAAAGCGUGGGGAGCGAACGGGAUUAGAUACCCCGGUAGUCCACGCCGUAAACGAUGGACACUAGCUGUCGGGCCGAUUUAGGUUCGGUGGCUAAGCGAAAGUGAUAAGUGUCCCACCUGGGGAGUACGUCGGCAACGAUGAAACUCAAAGGAAUUGACGGGGGCCCGCACAAGCGGUGGAGCAUGUGGUUUAAUUCGAUGAUACGCGAGGAACCUUACCAGGGCUUAAAUGUAGUGGGACAGGCUUAGAGAUAGGCUUUUCUUCGGACUCAUUACAAGGUGCUGCAUGGUUGUCGUCAGCUCGUGCCGUGAGGUGUCAGGUUAAGUCCUAUAACGAGCGCAACCCCUACCGUUAGUUGCCAGCGAGUAAAGUCGGGGACUCUAACGGAACUGCCGGUGCAAACCGCGAGGAAGGUGGGGAUGACGUC
rnacentral:rRNA from 1 species